rnacentral:rRNA from 1 species
AUUCCCCUAGUAACUGCGAGUGAAGCGGGAAAAGCUCAAAUUUAAAAUCUGGCGGUUCUUGCAGCCGCCGAGUUGUAAUUUAGAGAAGUGUUAUCCGCGCUGGACCGUGUACAAGUCUCCUGGAAUGGAGCGUCAUAGAGGGUGAGAAUCCCGUCUUUGACACGGACUACCAGGGCUUUGUGAUGCGCUCUCGAAGAGUCGAGUUGUUUGGGAAUGCAGCUCAAAAUGGGUGGUAAAUUCCAUCUAAAGCUAAAUAUUGGCGAGAGACCGAUAGCGAACAAGUACCGUGAGGGAAAGAUGAAAAGAACUUUGGAAAGAGAGUUAAACAGUACGUGAAAUUGUUGAAAGGGAAACGCUUGAAGUCAGUCGCGUUGGCUGGGGAUCAAUCUUGCUCUUUUGCUUGAUGUACUUCCUAGACGAUGGGUCAACAUCUUUUUUGAUUGUUGGAUAAAGAUUAGGGGAAUGUGGCAUCCUCGGAUGUGUUAUACCCCUUGGUUGUAUACAACAGUGGGGACUGAGGAACUCACCACGCCGCACGGGCGGGUUUUUAACCACGUACGUGCUUAGGAUGUUGGCAUAAUGGCUUUAAUCGACCCGUCUUGAAACACGGACCAAGGAGUCUAACAUGCCUGCGAGUAUUUGGGUGGAAAACCCGGAUGCGUAAUGAAAGUGAAAGUUGAGAUCUCUGUCGCGGAGAGCAUCGACGCCCGGACCAGACCCUUUUGUGACGGUUCCGCGGUAUAGCAUGUAUGUUGGGACCCGAAAGAUAGUGAACUAUGCCUGAAUAGGGGUGAAACCAGAGGAAACUCUGGUGGAGGCUCGUAGCGAUUCUGACAUGCAAAAUCUAUCGUCUAAUUUGGGUAUAGGGGGCGAAAAGACUAAUCCAACCCAUCUAGUAGUCUGGGUUCCCUGCCCAAGCUUCCCCCAACAAGGAAAAC